GAUGAACGCUGGCGGCGUGCCUAAUACAUGCAAGUCGAGCGAACAGAUAAGGAGCUUGCUCCUUUGACGUUAGCGGCGGACGGGUGAGUAACACGUGGAUAACCUACCUAUAAGACUGGGAUAACUUCGGGAAACCGGAGCUAAUACCGGAUAAUAUAUUGAACCGCAUGGUUCAAUAGUGAAAGGCGGCUUUGCUGUCUCUUAUAGAUGGAUCCGCGCCGUAUUAGCUAGUUGGUAAGGUAACGGCUUACCAAGGCAACGAUGCGUAGCCGACCUGAGAGGGUGAUCGGCCACACUGGAACUGAGACACGGUCCAGACUCCUACGGGAGGCAGCAGUAGGGAAUCUUCCGCAAUGGGCGAAAGCCUGACGGAGCAACGCCGCGUGAGUGAUGAAGGUCUUCGGAUCGUAAAACUCUGUUAUCAGGGAAGAACAAAUGUGUAAGUAACUGUGCACAUCUUGACGGUACCUGAUCAGAAAGCCCCGGCUAACUACGUG
rnacentral:rRNA from 1 species